CCUACGGGAGGCAGCAGUGAGGAAUAUUGGUCAAUGGACGAAAGUCUGAACCAGCCAUGCCGCGUGAAGGAUGACGGCCCUAUGAGUUGUAAACUUCGUUUGUACGGGAGUAAAUCUGAAUACGUGUCUUUAGCUGUCUUGACGGUACGAAUAAGGAUCGGCUAACUCCGUGCCAGCAGCCGCGGUAAGACGGAGGAUCCAAGCGUUAUCCGGAUUUAUGGGGUGUAAAGGGUGCGUAGGCGGGUUGAUAAGUUAGAGGUGAAAUGUCAGGGCUUAACUGUGGAAGUGCAUCUGAUACUGGUGAUCUAGAGAGCAGAAGAGGUAGGUGGAAUUCAUGGUGUAGCGGUGAAAUGCUCAGAGAUAAGAAAGAACACCGAUUGCGAAGGCAGCUUACUAGUCUGUAACUGACGCUGAGGCACGAAAGCGUGGGGAGCAAACAGGAUUAGAUACCCGAGUAGUC
rnacentral:rRNA from 1 species